rnacentral:rRNA from 1 species
AAAAACUGAGGUGGUAUACGAUGGUUCCGCGUCUGAUUAGCUAGUUGGUGGGGUAAAAGCCUACCAAGGCAACGAUCAGUAGCCGGCCUGAGAGGGUGAACGGCCACAUUGGGACUGAGACACGGCCCAAACUCCUACGGGAGGCAGCAGUGGGGAAUAUUGCACAAUGGGGGAAACCCUGAUGCAGCGACGCCGCGUGAGUGAAGAAGUAUUUCGGUAUGUAAAGCUCUAUCAGCAGGGAAGAAAUACUGACCAUAGGGUCAGCAGACGGUACUUGACUAAGAAGCCCCGGCUAACUACGUGCCAGCAGCCGCGGUAAUACGUAGGGGGCAAGCGUUAUCCGGAUUUACUGGGUGUAAAGGGAGCGUAGACGGCAGCGCAAGUCUGAAGCGAAAUGCCAGGGCUUAACCCUGGAACUGCUUUGGAAACUGUGCAGCUAGAGUGCAGGAGAGGUAAGUGGAAUUUCUAGUGUAGCGGUGAAAUGCGUAGAUAUUAGGAGGAACACCAGUGGCGAAGGCGGCUUACUGGACCGUAACUGACGUUGAGGCUCGAAAGCGUGGGGAGCAAACAGGAUUAGAUACCCUGGUAGUCCACGCUGUAAACGAUGAUUACUAGGUGUUGGGGGACCAAGGUUCUUCG